rnacentral:sRNA from 1 species
UCACACAACGCCACAAACAUGUAACGAG